GUGUUCCCUGUACGACAUCCUCCCUCCCUCUAUCCCUCGUCCUACUUCCUUUAAAUGCCUUUUGACUCUAUCCUCUCACCCAAAAAUGUAUCAUAUUCUUUUUAAAUUCAUGCAUAUAAAUAAUAUUAAACUAAUUCAAUUUGUGCAAAAAUCUCUUCGAUUCUCCCUCUGAGUCACCGAACAAAAUUCUAAUACACCCUCCAUAACGUUUAUGAAUCUAUAAAACGGACACUGGCAGAAUUGAGUAUAAGUAGUUUCACAAGCCAUUCAUAACGAAAAAAAAACCGCAAGCUUUUAUUUUGUUCACAAACGUGUAUUUUUAUUAGCAUCUAAUAGUUUGUAAUUUACUUUUACAGGAUAUUGUUACAAACUAAUUCAUGUGUAAUAGUUUGGUAUAUACAAAAUAAAG